rnacentral:lncRNA from 1 species
CCACAUUUGUGCUAUCGGUUAACAAGAUAGACGACAUCUUUCUAGGGGCAUCAAGCAUGAAGGAAAUUCCAUGCUACUUAUGGUCUCGACUUAGCUAAACAAUCAGCAAAAGAGUUGUCCUCCUGAAGAAUGUAACCCAAGUUCAUUCUUCAAUAUCUAAGUAUCGAAUUCUUGAUAUCACGUAUAUAUCUUAUUGACAUAGUGAACAUUUAAAUGCUCUAUGAACAACUGAAGAGUAUAAAGCGAGUUAGAAUAGCACACAAUGUCCAUUAACCUAAGGGACCAACACAUAAACAACCCUUGGUAAAGAGAAAAAAAAAAUCCAUAAAGGUAAUGCAACCACAACAAUAUAAUCUUAGCAAAAAAAAGCUUCAUUAUGGUCCAUAACCUAAUGAGAACGCCAAUACUAAUAAGGUCCAAAUUAGUCACACACUCUCAUUGGAGUUUAACACAACCGAAUAAAAUGGAGGAUGGGGCCAAACCAAUAAUCUCUUCACACUAGUAGUAGGAGCAUAACCAUCUGAAUCAAAAGACUACAUGAACAUAUUUCAUCAACGUUGAGAUUUGAGAAAUAAUAUCUUGAAUUGGAUGCUUGAUGUUAUAAAAAAAAUAACCUUGUUCCUAAAAUCCCAAAUUUUCCAAAGAAUAAUGACAAUGAUCACACUAUGACUAUCAAUAACAUUACUCGAUCAAUAUGUUAAAUUCAAACCAUCGUGAGGAGGGAUCGAAGAAAGUGGACAAACCUUCAACCAAAC